rnacentral:rRNA from 1 species
UACGUAGGGUGCAAGCGUUAAUCGGAAUUACUGGGCGUAAAGCGAGCGUAGUCGGUUAUUUAAGUCGAGUGUGAAAGCCCCCGGCUCAACUGGGGAGGGUCAUUCGAUACUGAUCGACUCGAAGGCAGGAGAGGGUAGUGGAAUUCCCGGUGUAGUGGUGAAAUGCGUAGAUAUCGGGAGGAACACCAGUGGCGAAGGCGACUACCUGGCCUGUUCUUGACGCUGAGGCGCGAAAGCUAGGGGAGCAAACGGG